rnacentral:rRNA from 1 species
UACACGCUGUGACUAGCAUAUCAAUAAGCGGAGGAAAAGAAACUAACAAGGAUUCCCCUAGUAACGGCGAGUGAAGCGGGAAGAGCUCAAAUUUGAAAUCUUAAAGGGUUUCCCUUUACGAAUUGUAGUUUAAAGAAGUGUUUUCUGUUGAGGUUUUGGUAAAAGUUCUUUGGAAUAGGACAUCAUAGAGGGUGAGAAUCCCGUAUUUGACCUUUACUUUCAACUUUGUGAUACACUUUCAAAGAGUCGGAUUGUUUGGGAAUGCAGUCCAAAAUGGGUGGUAAAUUUCAUCUAAAGCUAAAUAUUGGCGAGAGACCGAUAACGAACAAGUACCGUGAGGGAAAGAUGAAAAGAACUUUGAAAAGAGAGUUAAACAGUACGUGAAAUUGUCAAAAGGGAAGCGUUUGACACCAGUGUUGUUUUUCUGAAAAUCAAUUAAAGAACUGUUUAUGCUAAGUUGUUUAGACUUUAUCAGCUAACUGUUUAGUUUUGAGCUUUUCUUUAAUGCACUUUUCAGUUAACAAGUCAACAUCAAUUUCUUUUGCUGUAAAAAAGCUUGAGGAAGGUGGCUUGAGAUUCGUCUUAAGUGUUUAUAGCCUCUUGCCUAUGCAGUCGGAGAGAUUGAGGUCUGCAGCGUAGAUCCUUCGGGGCUAAAUGCAUUUGUGCUAAGUUAUAGCAUUUUAUAGACAACUUGUUGACUAUGAUUUGUCUUGUAGCUUACUCGCUUAUGUUAUUUUACCUACGCUUAGGAUGUUGAAGUCAUCGUAUCGCGC